rnacentral:misc_RNA from 1 species
GAUGAAGAACGUAGCGAAAUGCGAUAAGUAAUGUGAAUUGCAGAAUUCAGUGAAUCAUCGAAUCUUUGAACGCACAUUGCACCCCCUGGUAUUCCGGGGGGCAUGCCUGUUCGAGCGUCAUUUCACCACUCAAGCCUCGCUUGGUAUUGGGCAACGCGGUCCGCCGCGUGCCUCAAAUCGACCGGCUGGGUCUUCUGUCCCCUAAGCGUUGUGGAAACUAUUCGCUAAAGGGUGCUCGGGAGGCUACGCCGUAAAACAAACCCAUUUCUAAGGUUGACCUCGGAUCAGGUAGGGAUACCCGCUGAACUUAAGCAUAUCAAUAAGCGGAGGA